CCCUUAGAUGUUCGGGGCCGCACGCGCGCUACACUGAAGGAAUCAGCACGUCUUUCUCCUUGUCCGAAAGGACUGGGUAACCCGCUGAACCUCCUUCGUGCUAGGGAUUGGGGCUUGUAAUUCUUCCCCAUGAACGAGGAAUUCCCAGUAAGCGCGAGUCAUAAGCUCGCGUUGAUUACGUCCCUGCCCUUUGUACACACCGCCCGUCGCUACUACCGAUUGGAUGGUUUAGUGAGAUCCUCGGAUUGGUCCCGGCGCGGCCUCUGGUCGUGCCGGAGUGCCGAAAAGAAUGUCGAACUUGAUCAUCUAGAGGAAGAAAAAGUCGUAACA
rnacentral:rRNA from 1 species